rnacentral:rRNA from 1 species
UACGAAGGGUGCUAGCGUUGUUCGGAAUCACUGGGCGUAAAGGGCGCGUAGGCGGCUUUUCAAGUCAGAGGUGAAAGCCCGGGGCUCAACCCCGGAAUUGCCUUUGAAACUGUAAAGCUUGAGUGUCGGAGGGGAUAGCGGAAUUGCUAAUGUAGAGGUGAAAUUCGUAGAUAUUAGCAGGAACACCGGUGGCGAAGGCGGCUAUCUGGACGACAACUGACGCUGAGGCGCGAAAGCGUGGGGAUCAAACAGG